GUUGGCGACUGUUGCGUCAUUGCGAACGUGCGUCAACGGAAAACAACUCUACUUUUAUGGUCAAAAUUUUACCUUGUGGGUUCCCGUGACUCCGAGAUUUUUUCUUUACAAGUAUGGAGGUCUUAGAUUAUUUUAUCCUCCAUAAGGGAAAAGCACAUUGGAUUGCCACCCAAAAUAACAUCUUCAGACGUAUUCAAAUGGGAUUUUUGAAACCUGGAUCACUCCACACAAUUAAGCUGUAGGUGGCACUCAAGGAAAGCGGAACACAAAAUAAACAUUAAACAUGAUCGAUUUGAUUGGUAAAUGCAUCAUAAAUGGCGCUAAUGCGGCCGGGAUCUUCUGUAGCCGGUGUAACAUCCAGACAUUUAGAGAAAGAUUCAUCAAGGAGGAGUUGGUGCUGUUAGACCGAAGAUUAUGCAUGCAAGAGAUGUACUCAAAUCAAAGGAGACAUCUGGGCGGAUUCGAAUUAAAUCCACUAACAGCCUUACCUUCUCACAUUUUCAAGUGUAGCUAAUUGGAGAAAAUAUGCUUACCCUACCCGAGGCUUCCUGCAGGACCUAUUGAAAAGCGACACAAAAGAAAAGCGGCUGCAUAGUAGUCCAACACAGUUUUGAAGCUCACAAGUCCAGCAUGAAAUAGCUGUUUAGGUCAGAGACCUAAAGAAAAAUAAGUUCUCUUCUCGUGUUCAGUUUGCUCUUCGUUUACGUUAACCCAAAGGUAACGUCCAUUUGUCUAGAAUUGUGUUUUCUAAACUGACAUUCUAAAAAACACUAGUCACACAGCGAUACGCCUCCUUUGUUUGUUACAUCCCUAUCUUAAGUGAGAUCUAGUUGGACAAAACGUACAUCUUUUAACUGAAGCGUGAAGUUCUUAAAGAAAAGCCCCCAAAAAAUUCGGUCGGUUGAGAGAAAAAACGAA